rnacentral:rRNA from 1 species
UGGGGAAUUUUGGACAAUGGGGGAAACCCUGAUCCAGCCAUCCCGCGUGUGCGAUGAAGGCCUUCGGGUUGUAAAGCACUUUUGGCAGGAAAGAAACGUCAUGGGUUAAUACCCCGUGAAACUGACGGUACCUGCAGAAUAAGCACCGGCUAACUACGUGCCAGCAGCCGCGGUAAUACGUAGGGUGCAAGCGUUAAUCGGAAUUACUGGGCGUAAAGCGUGCGCAGGCGGUUCGGAAAGAAAGAUGUGAAAUCCCAGAGCUCAACUUUGGAACUGCAUUUUUAACUACCGGGCUAGAGUGUGUCAGAGGGAGGUGGAAUUCCGCGUGUAGCAGUGAAAUGCGUAGAUAUGCGGAGGAACACCGAUGGCGAAGGCAGCCUCCUGGGAUAACACUGACGAUCAUGCACGAAAGAGUGGGGAGCAAACAGG